GGGUCUGUCUGCGGACCGCAAGAGAGGGGCGUGCCGUUAAGGGGCGUAACUUUUAGCAGGGGGCGUAACUUUAAGUUGUCCAAGUUACACAGAACCACGCGAGACGUCAGGACGAGAUGUUGUCAUUCUGUCUUCUCUUCUGCCCGCAUAGAGAUACGGCGGCUAAAGGCGUUAUUAAAGUUGCUCAUCCAAGCGCCUUCAUGUUUGUUCGUACCAAUUUUAAUGGACGGGAAGCCGACUGACGAACAUCCUUUUCCCGAGAAAUGGUUCGGCUACGACACAUGUUAAGAAGUCACGCCAGGGGCUGAAUUAAGGUCGACCGUUUCAGCUGCAUUGAUGUGAAGUGAUGCAGUGGACAACUUGUGAGGGUGAUACCAUCCACAUGCACCUUAACUGUGAUGCAGAAAUACAAUAGGAUGAUCCAUCUGUCUACACUUCAAAAUCACAACUCAACCUUAAACAACCCAUAUCUGUUAUGGUAAAACAAUGUGGCGGUUUUCCAGACAGGGCUUAUACUGUUCCUGGGCUAAAAUGCAUGUUUGAGCUACUGUAAUUAAGAAAACACCUUGUACUGACACAUCUCAACAUAUCAGUGCCAUUGUUUUGUUUCAAGGUGCACACCAGUCUUGUUUUUGUAAGGUUUGUUUGUAAAAACUAAAAUGUCCUAAUAUAAGUGCCCAGUCCUGGUUUAAUCUAAACCAUUGGUGACCAAACCUGUGUCUUGAGAUCUACUGUCCUGCAGAGUUCAGCUCCAACCCCAGUCAAACACACCUGAACCUGCCAAUCAAGCAUUUCAGGGCAACCUUAAAAUUAUAGUCAGGUGUGUUUGUUAAAGCUGGGUUAGAACUAAAAUAUGCAGGAGGGUAGAUCUCCAGGAACAGGGUGGGUCACCCCUGAUCUAAACAAAGGGUUUCCAAACUGUGUCCUGCAAAGUUUAGCUCUAACCCUAAUCAAACACAACUGAAGCAGCCAAUUAAUGUCCUACUAAGCAUACUAGAAACUUACUGGCAGGUGCUCUGAUGCAAGUAAGAGCUAAACUCUGCAGGACACCGGCCCUCCAGGACUGAGUUUGGGCACCCCUGCCUAAGCCGUGUCUGGGAAACUGCACCAAUGUGUUAAGCUGGCACCAUUGGACAUUACUGCUGCUGAGAAACAACCACAUUUCUCAGCUCUACACAGGGUUGACAUUGGAUGCAUUAUUAUUAUAAAAUGCAUUCAUGUGCACUUUACCAAUACUGUACAUACAUCAACAGCUUCCAGCUAUACACUUGGGAUCAGCUCCUGAUGCCUCUCAUAAUGCUGUGUUAUAAUUUAUUGCAGGGUGAUCUUGCUAAAAUGAUAUUUUUAUAAACCUUUACAAUGUCACCAGAUGUUACCUGUUGUGAAUUAUUAUUUUAUAAACCUUUACAAUCUCACUAGUUGUUACAUGUUGUGGAUAUUUAUUUUUAUAAACCUUUUCAAUGUCACCAGAUGUUACAUGUUGUGAAUGGUUAUUUUUAUAAACCUUUACAAUGUCACCAGUUGUUACAUGUUGUGCAUAGUUAUUUUUAUACACCUUUACAAUGUUACCUGUUGUGAAUAGUUAUUUUUAUAAACCUUUACAAUGUCACCAGUUGUUACAUGUUGUGCAUAGUUAUUUUUAUACACCUUUACAAUGUUACCUGUGUGAAUAGUUAUUUUUAUAAACCUUCACAAUGUCACCAGAUGUUACCUGUUGUGAAUAAUUAUUUUAUAAACCUUUACAAUGUCACCAGUUGUUACCUGUUGUGAAUAGUUAUUUUUAUAAACCUUUACAAUGUCACCUGUUGUGAAUGGUUAUUUUAUACACCUUUACAAUGUUACCUGUUGUGAAUAGUUAUUUUUAUAAACCUUCACAAUAUCACCAGAUGUUAUCUGUUAGUAGCCAUUUCUUAUAAAACCACGUGAGCUCUGUAGAUUCCUCUUAAAACUUAAAAAGAAUUAAGUUUGCAAGUGAAUUUCAUCUUGGUUUAAUACAUAUUAAACUGUCUGAGGUGCACAUUUACUUAAAAAAAAAAGACGAAA